rnacentral:rRNA from 1 species
UACGUAGGGGGCAAGCGUUGUCCGGAAUCAUUGGGCGUAAAGCGCGUGUAGGCGGCCCGAUAAGUCCGCUGUGAAAGUCCAGGGCUCAACCCUGGGAUGCCGGUGGAUACUGUCGGGCUCGAGUCCGGAAGAGGCGAGUGGAAUUCCUGGUGUAGCGGUGAAAUGCGCAGAUAUCAGGAGGAACACCAGUGGCGAAGGCGGCUUUCUGGUCUGUAACUGACGCUGAGGCGCGAAAGCGUGGGGAGCAAACAGG